UACGAGGGGUGCAAGCGUUGCUCGGAAUUAUUGGGCGUAAAGCGUCCGCAGGUGGCUAUUCAAGUCUGCCGGUCAAAGACUGGGGCUUAACCCUGGAAAGGCCGUGGAAACUGAAGAGCUAGAGUGCAGUAGGGGUAGAGGGAAUUCCGGUGUAGCGGUGAAAUGCGUAGAGCUCGGGAAGAACAUCGGUGGCGAAGCGCUCUGCUGGACUGCAACUGACACUCAGGGACGAAAGCUAGGGGAGCGAAUGGG
rnacentral:rRNA from 1 species